ensembl:misc_RNA
AGAAUCCAUGUAGGGUCGGCAGGCUCCGGAGUUGCGCAAGGUGGACACACAAAACCAAAAGCCGGAGUUGGAAAA